rnacentral:piRNA from 1 species
UUGAGUGCUAAAACCAGGACUGUCCUGGGC